rnacentral:lncRNA from 13 species
CAGAUCUCGUGAGAACUCACUCACUAUCACGAGAGCAGCAUUGCGGAAACCACCGUCAUGAUCCAAUCACCUCCCACCAGGUUCCUCCCUCAACGCCUGGUCAAGAUGAGAUGGGGGUGGGGACACAGCCUAACCAUCUCAACCUUCUUUAUUUCAUUCGUUUAACAAACAUUUACAAACAGCUUGUUCUACACAGUAGACAGUCAAGGUCAAACAGGGCGGAGCCUCUGCUCUCCGGGAGUCCACAGCUGGAAAAGGGAUAGCGAGAUACCCCUGGAAAUCUGCACUUCAUGAUGCUCAAGACGCAAUUCCUUCCCUGACCACACCUGAAUUCAAGGGCAAAAACCUAUUUCUGAACCGGGCCAGCAGCGCCCUCUAGUGGAUCCACAGAGGAAGGCCUCAAGGAGCUCUGCGCUUCAGACACAUCCACGCAGGCAGCAUAAAGCCACGCGGUUGCCCAGGCUGGACUGCAAUGGCACGAUCUUGGCUCACAGCAACCUCUGCCUCCCGGGUUCAAGCGAUUCUCCUGCCUCAGCCUCCCGAUAUGGACCCUGCUAGCAGGAAAGAGCAUGAAGCUUGGGGCUGCUGGAGUCAUCACCUGAAUCAGAGAAUAAAGCUAACUCAGAGGAAAGCACCACAGAGACAUCAAGGGACCAGCUUGAGUUAUAUCGCUGGAUGUGACCAUGUCUGCAGGGACUGGAAAUUUCAAUCGUGUGAGCCAAUAAAUUCCCCUCUUCUGGGGAACUACAUGGAAUUGGGUUUCUGUCACAACUGA